GGUCAAGUGAAUAAGAGCAUGUGGUGGAUGCCUUGGCGAUGAUAGGCGACGAAGGACGUGAUAGCCUGCGAUAAGCUUCGGGGAGCUGGCAAAUAAGCUGUGAUCCGGAGAUUUCCGAAUGGGGAAACCCACCGAAAGGUAUCGUCAUCUGAAUACAUAGGGUGACGAGGCGAACCGGGUGAACUGAAACAUCUCAGUAGCUCGAGGAAAAGACAUCAACCGAGAUUCCGAAAGUAGUGGCGAGCGAAAUCGGAGCAGCCUGUUAGUGAUAGCGCGACUCUUAACGG
rnacentral:rRNA from 1 species